rnacentral:rRNA from 1 species
AGAGUUUGAUCAUGGCUCAGGAUGAACGCUAGCGGGAGGCCUAAUACAUGCAAGUCGAGCGGUCAGCAAUGAUAGCGGCAGACGGGUGCGUAACGCGUAUGAAACUUGCCCCACACAGGAGGAUAGCCUUGGGAAACUGAGAGUAACCCUCCAUAGUCUUGAGUUGCCGCAUGGUAGCUUAAGUAAAACUUCGGUGGUGUGGGAUAGUCGUGCGUCCGAUUAGGUAGUUGGUAGUGUAAUGGACUACCAAGCCGACGAUCGGUAGCUGGUCUGAGAGGAUGAUCAGCCACACGGGCACUGAGACACGGGCCCGACUCCUACGGGAGGCAGCAGUAAGGAAUAUUGGACAAUGGACGGAAGUCUGAUCCAGCCAUCCCGCGUGGAGGAAUAAGGCCCUAUGGGUUGUAAACUCCUUUAGCAGGGGAAUAAAAAGGUCAUUUAUGAUCAAUUGAAGGUACCCUGAGAAUAAGCACCGGCUAACUCCGUG